GCAGUAAAUGGGAGACCAUUUUCUCACAGUGGUUUCUGGUAGGGCCUUCAGAGUAGAGAAGUUCAAAGAAUGCUUACCUGACAAAUGGAAUCCGAAGUUGGCAGAGGCCUGAAGACAAAGGCUACAUCAAAUACAUCUGGAAAUUUCACUGGUUCUACAUUUAAAGUAUCUUCAGAAUUUAGAAAGUUCUUCAGACAAAAGGAAUAUGAGACCAACCAUAAACUUGGAUAUACAUCAAGAAAUGAAGAAAAUUAGAACUGGAAUCAAGCAAGAGAGGGAGAGCACAAGCAGA